GAGCUUCCGUUGAAUGACGUGCUUGCACUGAUUUCAACAAUGAAGCGAGUGGCGAACUGGUGAGUAACACGUGGGAAAUCUGCCCAGAAGCAGGGGAUAACACUUGGAAACAGGUGCUAAUACCGUAUAACAACAAAAUCCGCAUGGUUUUUGUUUGAAAGGUGGCUUCGGCUAUCACUUCUGGAUGAUCCCGCGGCGUAUUAGUUAGUUGGUGAGGUAAAGGCCCACCAAGACGAUGAUACGUAGCCGACCUGAGAGGGUAAUCGGCCACAUUGGGACUGAGACACGGCCCAAACUCCUACGGGAGGCAGCAGUAGGGAAUCUUCCACAAUGGACGAAAGUCUGAUGGAGCAAUGCCGCGUGAGUGAAGAAGGGUUUCGGCUCGUAAAACUCUGUUGUUAAAGAAGAACACCUUUGAGAGUAACUGUUCAAGGGUUGACGGUAUUUAACCAGAAAGCCACGGCUAACUACGUGCCAGCAGCCGCGGUAAUACGUAGGUGGCAAGCGUUGUCCGGAUUUAUUGGGCGUAAAGCGAGCGCAGGCGGUUUUUUAAGUCUGAUGUGAAAGCCUUCGGCUUAACCGGAGAAGUGCAUCGGAAACUGGGAGGCUUGAGUGCAGAAGAGGACAGUGGAACUCCAUGUGUAGCGGUGGAAUGCGUAGAUAUAUGGAAGAACACCAGUGGCGAAGGCGGCUGUCUAGUCUGUAACUGACGCUGAGGCUCGAAGGCAUGGGUAGCGAACAGGAUUAGAUACCCUGGUAGUCCAUGCCGUAAACGAUGAGUGCUAAGUGUUGGAGGGUUUCCGCCCUUCAGUGCUGCAGCUAACGCAUUAAGCACUCCGCCUGGGGAGUACGACCGCAAGGUUG
rnacentral:rRNA from 1 species